AUUGGAUUGAUUAGAGGUUCAUAAUUAAGGCUUAAACUUAAUGCAUUAAUCUGCCAAUUAGAA
rnacentral:tRNA from 1 species